UACGUAGGUGGCAAGCGUUGUCCGGAAUUAUUGGGCGUAAAGGAUGCGUAGGCGGUCCUUUAAGUGGGAUGUGAAAUCCCUGGGCUUAACCCAGGAAUUGCAUUCCAAACUGGAGGACUAGAGUGCAGGAGAGGAAAGUGGAAUUCCCAGUGUAGCGGUGAAAUGCGUAGAGAUUGGGAGGAACACCAGUGGCGAAGGCGGCUUUCUGGACUGUAACUGACGCUGAGGCAUGAAAGCGUGGGGAGCAAAC
rnacentral:rRNA from 1 species